rnacentral:rRNA from 1 species
AGUGAACGCUGGCGGUAGGCCUAACACAUGCAAGUCGAACGGCAGCACAGUAAGAGCUUGCUCUUACGGGUGGCGAGUGGCGGACGGGUGAGGAAUACAUCGGAAUCUACUUUUUCGGGGGGGAUAACGUAGGGAAACUUACGCUAAUACCGCAUACGACCUACGGGGGAAAGCAGGGGAUCUUCGGACCUUGCGCGAUUGAAUGAGCCGAUGCCGGAUUAGCUAGUUGGCGGGGUAAAGGCCCACCAAGGCGACGAUCCGUAGCUGGUCUGGGAGGAUGGUCAGCCACACUGGAACUGAGACACGGUCCAGACUCCUACGGGAGGCAGCAGUGGGGAAUAUUGGACAAUGGGCGCAAGCCUGAUCCAGCCAUACCGCGUGGGUGAAGAAGGCCUUCGGGUUGUAAAGCCCUUUUGUUGGGAAAGAAAAGCAGCAGGUUAAUACCCCGCUGUUCUGACGGUACCCAAAGAAUAAGCACCGGCUAACUUCGUG